AUACGGAGGCGGCAAGCGUUGUUCGGAAUUACUGGGCGUAAAGAGUACGUAGGCGGAUCGUUAAGUUAGAGGUGAAAUCCCAGGGCUCAACCCUGGAACUGCCUUUAAUACUGGCGAUCUAGAGAUCGAGAGAGGUGAGUGGAAUUUCCAGUGUAGAGGUGAAAUUCGUAGAUAUUGGAAAGAACACCAGUGGCGAAGGCGGCUCACUGGCUCGAUACUGACGCUGAGGUACGAAAGCGUGGGGAGCAAACAGGAUUAGAAACCCCAGUAGUCC
rnacentral:rRNA from 1 species